GAUGAACGCUGACAGAAUGCUUAACACAUGCAAGUCAACUUGAACUUCGGUUUGGGUGGCGGACGGGUGAGUAACGCGUAAAGAACUUGCCUCACAGUUAGGGACAACAUUUGGAAACGAAUGCUAAUACCUGAUAUUAUGAUUUUAGGGCAUCCUAGAAUUAUGAAAGCUAUAUGCGCUGUGAGAGAGCUUUGCGUCCCAUUAGCUAGUUGGAGAGGUAACGGCUCACCAAGGCGAUGAUGGGUAGCCGGCCUGAGAGGGUGAACGGCCACAAGGGGACUGAGACACGGCCCUUACUCCUACGGGAGGCAGGAGUGGGGAAUAUAGGACAAUGGACCAAGAGUCUGAUCCAGCAAUUCUGUGUGGACGAUGAAGUUUUUCGGAAUGUAAAGUGCUUUCAGUUGGGAAGAAAAAAAUGACGAUACCAACAGAAGAAGUGACGGCUAAAUACGUG
rnacentral:rRNA from 1 species